rnacentral:misc_RNA from 1 species
AACUUUUGACAACGGAUCUCUUGGUUCUGGCAUUGAUGAAGAACGCAGCGAAAUGCGAUAAGUAAUGUGAAUUGCAGAAUUCAAUGAAUCAUCGAAUCUUUGAACGCACAUUGCGCCCCUUGGUAUUCCGAGGGGCAUGCCUGUUCGAGCGUCAUUAUAACCACUCAAGCCUCGGCUUGGUCUUGGGGUUCGCGGUCUCGCGGCCCUUAAAAUCAGUGGCGGUGCCGUCUGGCUCUAAGCGUAGUAAUUCUCUCGCUAUAGAGUCCCGGUGGCUACCUGCCAGAACCCCCCAUUUUUUACGGUUGACCUCGGAUCAGGUAGGGAUACCCGCUGAACUUAAGCAUAUCAAUAAGCGGAGGCU